rnacentral:lncRNA from 1 species
UUUCCUCUGCCUAAUGCAGAGGUAAUUGCUUUGAAGACUGUUCUCAGCCACAAUUUUGGGCGUGUAUCACGGCUGGCAUGUGUAUCAUGGACAUGUUUGGGACAUUAGUUCCAUUUUGCAUCGCUUUAUUUCAGUUUCCAACCAUCAUGUAUCGCGUGUUGCCAAUAUUUUAACGGAUUCCUUGGUGGAUUCUGUUCUUUUAAUUUAUUUUGUAAUGCUUGCUCAUUCAAUGGAGUUUGAGGCGCUUUGACCAAUAAAAACGACCAAACCCUCAAAAUUUUGUGAAAAAAUUAGGUUAUCGUAAGAAUUUAACACUUAUCGUAUUAAGGUAUGAUAUAUUUUUAUAUUUUAAAAGGGUACAUAUUAUCUACAAACCCC